GUGCGUCGUUCGCCGUUGCUCCCCGGGUCCGCAGUUCUGCGAGCCAACUGUUGCAGUUCGUCGAGCUGAUGAUUAAUAUAUCCGAUAUCGCUUUUGAUUUGGCUGGUUAAUCGGUCGAUCUCCUCGCUAUGGUCAUCGAACAGAGAGCGCUGCCGCGCCAGUCGAGUCAGUUGAGCGAGUUUUGCGGACGUUUCGUGAAUCCUUCCGCCAAUCUGCGCUGCACAGACGGCAAAGUUGCUACGUUGCCAGCCGGGUGAGUGUUUUACGGCCAGCUCUGCAGUUCGUUCGGGAGUGAGCGAGGUCUGCGGGGCCGCCGCCCCAGCGUCCCCCGGACGUGCUGCAGCGGUGGCUCCACUGGUACCCGCUGCCGAGUCUCUCUCGAACAGUCGCGCGACAGAGCGCAACUCCUCUGUCCUGUCCUGAAGCGCUAGGAAACCCAUGGGAGAGCUCUGCACACGAUGAACCACAGUUACCGGGGCGAUGAAGAAACGCUCGCAACGCUCACGGAGACCCCAGGGGUACGCUGCGGGGCCCGCUCAGUCACAGACGCUCGUGCGAGCGUUCAACGCAAGUUCUGCACAACGCAAGUCAGUAGGGUACAGCGUAGCGCAGCACAGCUUACUACAGCAAGAAAGGUGGCGUAUUGCACCCGAAAGACGCAGUUCAACAGCGUUCUUGGCCACGACAAUGCAUCUUCGAGAACAGACUCGAGCGUGGGCGCGUUCCCGUCCCAGUUCAACGGUCUAUCGUGCCGUGAUCGUUGCCGCAGCAUACCGCUACAAUAUUCGAGUGCAAGUUUAGCGAAUGACCGGACUUUUAUAAGGUGCAGGCACGGAAAUAGUGGUUGACAAAACGAAUAUCUGCUUACGAUCUGACUACGCGUCCGAUGCUUCUUGGAAACAGCGGGAUACUUGAAGGCAGUGGCACAGGCUGCUGCUGCUGCUGCUGCUGCGCGUUCUAUGAACAAGUCUGUGAUCCUAUGCCAAGCAAGGAGGCCUAUGGUGACUUGUUCCAGACCUCAACGGAGGCUGUUUCGAACUAGCGCUGUGUUUCUAGUAUGCUGCUUGAGCCUCGGACAGGCGUUCACCGGUCUUAUGGGAUGGUGAGCUGUCCCAGACCUCAACGGAGGCUGUUUCGAACUAGCGCUGUGUUUCUAGUAUGCCGCGUGAGCCUCGGACAGGCGUUCACCGGUCUCAUGGGGUGGUGUUUCUCGCGAGCAGCCUCUUCGGUUGCCGCAACGCACCAUACAGUGUCAAGUUUCUGCCUGCUACCUCCUGCGAGGUUGCAACCCCCACGCGAUUGCAGCAGCUCCUUGGAAAAGGAGUGCACCUGCCCGCUGGCAGCCAGACCAGUAGCCUCAGAGAAGUGUGAACGUCAGACCGGCCGCUCGUCAACAUCCCGCUCCUCGUGUUGUGUACAUAGGAUCCGUCAGCCGAACGGAACUCCUCACGUCCUGUGAAUGCUGUCGCUUCCUUCACCCGUGUCAGAUGGAACAGGGACAUGGAAGUGGUCUUUCUGUCGACGCCUUGCGAUUUUUCCGGAAAUUUUUUCAUUUAAUGCAAAUCCUCGACAUUCCAAGUCCAGCAGUAGGGGCUUGCGAAAUCACACGUAGGUUUUGGAAGCUCGAUCGUGUUUUCUCAGUGGUCCGGUAAGUGACCGCGAUCAAAAUGAUUUGCGACGCUUUCGAACAAGGAUUCGUAAAAUAACCAGU
rnacentral:misc_RNA from 1 species